rnacentral:rRNA from 1 species
GACGAACGCUGGCGGCGUGCUUAACACGUGCAAGUCGAACGGAAAGGCCCUGCUUUUGUGGGGUGCUCGAGUGGCGAACGGGUGAGUAACACGUGAGUAACCUGCCCUUGACUUUGGGAUAACUUCAGGAAACUGGGGCUAAUACCGGAUAGGAGCUCCUGCUGCAUGGUGGGGGUUGGAAAGUUUCGGCGGUUGGGGAUGGACUCGCGGCUUAUCAGCUUGUUGGUGGGGUAGUGGCUUACCAAGGCUUUGACGGGUAGCCGGCCUGAGAGGGUGACCGGCCACAUUGGGACUGAGAUACGGCCCAGACUCCUACGGGAGGCAGCAGUGGGGAAUAUUGCACAAUGGGCGGAAGCCUGAUGCAGCAACGCCGCGUGCGGGAUGACGGCCUUCGGGUUGUAAACCGCUUUCGCCUGUGACGAAGCGUGAGUGACGGGAAUGGGUAAAGAAGCACCGGCUAACUACGU